CCACUUUAGAAACUGACCUCCUGGCGGAUUCAUAGACGGUGGUAAAGGAUUUCUGAACGACCCUCCUUAAAAGAUGACCACCCAAUCGUAUAAGUCAUCCUCAAUAAUUGUGGGUCUUCAUUUACCCGAGUUUCUGAGAUGCCCGCUAGUUGCGAGUAGGACUUCAUUGUUUCCGUGAUUCCAAAACGAACUGCCCGGAUUGUUUCUUCCAAAAUUUUGGUUCUUGGUCGCACAACUGACGGCUCUAGAAAUUCGAUGUCGCUGCCUUCACCCUGAAUAUAUCGCGGAUGAGCCAACCCUGAAGAAUGCCACGGCGAAUACAUUUGCAGCGCCCUGAACCUCACCUCCCGCUAGCCACGCCGAUGUUGCCGCUUCAAAGAUCUCCAUCAUUGGCUGAAAGUCAAAAUUUGCAAUUUCAUUUCGUAUCAUAGUACAAAUGCUAAGAUAGAAAUAAACUAUCGCUGGUGCUUUUGCAUGUAA